UUCGAAAGGGAUGCUAAUCCCGCAUACGUCCUACGGGAGAAAGCAGGGGAUCUUCGGACCUUGCGCUAAUAGAUGAGCCUAAGUCGGAUUAGCUAGUUGGUGGGGUAAAGGCCUACCAAGGCGACGAUCUGUAGCGGGUCUGAGAGGAUGAUCCGCCACACUGGGACUGAGACACGGCCCAGACUCCUACGGGAGGCAGCAGUGGGGAAUAUUGGACAAUGGGGGGAACCCUGAUCCAGCCAUGCCGCGUGUGUGAAGAAGGCCUUAUGGUUGUAAAGCACUUUAAGCGAGGAGGAGGCUACUUUAGUUAAUACCUAGAGAUAGUGGACGUUACUCGCAGAAUAAGCACCGCAACU
rnacentral:rRNA from 1 species